GACGAACGCUGGCGGCGUGCUUAACACAUGCAAGUCGAACGGAAAGGCCCUGCUUUUGUGUGGUGCUCGAGUGGCGAACGGGUGAGUAACACGUGAGUAACCUGCCCUUGACUUUGGGAUAACUUCAGGAAACUGGGGCUAAUACCGGAUAGGAGCUCCUGCUGCAUGGUGUGGGUUGGAAAGUUUCGGCGGGUGGGGAUGGACUCGCGGCUUAUCAGCUUUUUGGUGGGGUAGUGGCUUACCCAGGGUUUGACGGGUCGCCGGCCUGAGAGGGUGACCCGGCACAUUGGGACUGGGGAUACGGCCGGAAUUAUACGGGGGGGAAGAAGGGGGGUAUUUGCAACAAUGGCCGAAUGCUUGAUGAGGAAACCCGGGUGGGGGAAGACGGUCUUUGGGGUGGAAACCGGUUUUGCCUGGGAAGGAGGGUGAGUGACGGUAAUUGGUAAAAGAGGAACGGCUAACUACGUG
rnacentral:rRNA from 1 species